rnacentral:lncRNA from 1 species
CCCGGGCAACAAGAGCGAAACUCCACCUCAGAAACAAAAAACAAACAAACAAACAAACAAACAAACAAAAUCGUUUUGGGUAGCAGUGGCUUUAGGCUGUUUUUGGAUCUUUGGCUAUUGAUACUGAUUUGAAAUUUUUUGUUAUUAUUUUCAUGUUAAGCAAAACUAGAAAGUUUUACCGAAUUCCCCUGCAGUACAGUAAGUAUUUUCUUUCAUUGGGGGAAGCAAACUAUUUACAGCCAUAACAGGGUUUCCAGUGAAUUGUAUAAGUAGCACUGAGUUCUGUGUCAGCAAAAAAUGAAACAAAAACUGAUCAUAGAUGACAUUACCUAAAUGACAGUACCUACGUGUGUCCUUUCUUUCACAUUUGCUGUAAUCCUGUUAUGGCAUUGUCCUAUUAUCUCAAGUACUGUCAUCUUUAAAUGCUGUCAAAUUGUAACUGGAUUGCCAAGGACAGAGGAGAGGAACCAGGGAGGACACAAUGGCAAUUCCCACUGCACCAAAGAGACGGUCUUCUUCCCCCUCUCACAGUCUGAAUUCUUGGAGACAUUGUUCAGUUAAAAUCAUGACUCAGGUAUCUUUUACAGGCUUUGAUGAAAUAGUCAGAUUCACUCCUCAUGUUCCUAGAAGGAAAGGAAGAAACACUCUUUGAACAGCCCGUGAGACAAACUCUUCCAGGAUAAUUUAAAUGUUUCUACAUAAUGAGAAUAAAUUCCCUCCAGAAGGAUCCCAAGGGAAGAUAAUCUACAUUUGAGAAGACGAUUUCCCAAUUUCCAUACAGAUGACGAAAACGUAACUGCCCACUACACUGCUCCCCCUGCUGAAUUUUCUUUUUCCACUCUCGGUGUGUGGCAUUGUGGGGUGCAGACACCUGAAAGCCUGACUGGAGAUGUAACAUGGGCUCUGCUGACAUUAGCAUGAAGAGCUUAGCUAAUCGACUUGCAAAAUAUAGGUUAGGGAGUUUUAUAGGAUAUCAAAUUAUCUUACUCUUUCAUUGAUUAAAGGCAAAAUAUUACAUUAACUAGAUCAUUACAUGGGUAAAAGGUUAGAACUUCACACACUUAGGGGUGUUGCACUAUCCUUCCCCUUCCUGCCUUGUGGCAAAUCACAGGUUGGAGGCAGGGAAACUCACUGUGUCUAGCGCUCCUAAAUGCCUGAAUAGCAACGUUAGACUUAAAGGAGGGGCAUUUGCCUUCGCUUUGAAUCUCCCGAGUCUUUUUUAUUCUGAUAGAAUAGUAAUCUUAAAAUUAAAUAUUAAUUUGUUCUGAUUCCAUUUCUGUUAGCAGGGAAAAGGGCAAAUACAUGAAAGGGCGUGGGCUGAGCCAUGGCCAGGUUUGAGAGACAGAGUGAUUCGCAGUAGUCUUCCCAGGGUGUUGAGUGGGAACGUCUCCCUGGGAAGGGAUGUGGUCAUUCUCAGACUGUGGGCUCAGACUCUGUCACACUGUAAUACCUCUGUCAACCAUCUAAUGCUAUCAAGGCCUUCCUGAGAGAAGUUUCAGGCCCAAUCCUGAUGUUGAGUUGGCAUGUUCACAUGUCUGGUAAUAAUCUGCCAGCUAAUCCAUCAUGCUGCUCAUUUCUGUGCAUUAUUCAUCUCAAAGCCAGAGGAUCUCAUGUCCAUCACAGGGCUGUGGUCUGUGGAUAGGGAAAAUUUCAAGGCUUUUCUGGGCCUGAUGUAGCCAUUUUCUUUCAGUAUCUUAGAUUGGUAGGUCUUUAGAAAUUAUCUCUCAAAAUGUGUGUGUGUGUGCCUAAGUAUAGUUUUCUUGAAUUUCUCACUUCAGUACUUAACUACACAUAUGUGCAGAAAGUGAACUCUUAGAAUUUGGCUAUCCGUUCUUUCUCAUUGUGUGAGAAGGAGGCAAAGUUGCCAAAUUGGAGGUGGGGCAAGGUGGGCCAGUAGAGCUGUGAUUGGUGUCUCACUUUGAUGUGUAGGAGAGAGAACAAAUCACAAGUCAUUCUCUGGAAAGGAGCCAUGGUCCACCCACAGAACAAGGACCCUGAAAUCCCCAGUACCAGUCUCCCUAGGAUGUCUUGCCUUUCAGCAGCUGUUCAGUCAAAUCCAUUUCAGAAUGGAGAACAGCUUGUCACAGUUCUCUACUCUUGACCUGCUGAUAGAACAAGGGGCUUGGAGAUUUUGGGUAGAUAUGGAAAUAGAUCCCUAAACAUACUAAAAAGAUUUUUUUUGUACGUGUGGUGGGGGAGAGGAGAACCAGAGCAGAAGGUUGGAGAAAGAAAGUUGGGGAAGGAAACUAAAAUGUGCAAUCUCAUUCCUCAGCCUUCUUGUUGAAAAUGAGAAUCAGAUGCAGCAAUGUAUUAUUUCCAAGAGCUAUCUGGUGAUGGGAUCCAUCUGGUGAAGGGCUACUUCUGGGGGACCUGGAAUUGCUGUGUGACCUUUGGGAAACACUUGCCUUCUCUGGGUUGAGCUCAGCCCGUAGUUCACAAGGGGCAUUGCUGGUAUUUAUAGACUGUGUUUGACAGUCCCGAGUGAAAGGCAACUUCACUUCUCACCCCAGAAUAGCAAGCGUUGUUUCUCAUAUCUAGGUUGCUGGGACAGCUUCCCAGGAACCUAAUAUUCAGCAGCUUCGUGACGUUGGAUGGAGGGUUUUUCUUUUUAAAUGAGUUGAUUGGCUUUUGCCACUUUACACAUUGUUUUCCAGGUCUAGGUUUAUUUUUCCCUUAUAGGUAGAAUAUAAAAGAGUAUGGGGUCUGCCCUGGCUCACACCGUUCUGUUUUUGCAGUUAGCUUAAAGGCAUGGAGGACAUUCCUGGGACUAGCAUCUGCUAGCCAAGAACGAAGAUGACAGCAACAUGGCCGUAGAGGCAUGGGCCCUGCUGGGGCUAAUAACCCACUGCAGGCUAUCCUUGGCAUUCUUGCUGGAGUGGCCUUGCUCCACCCUACCUGGUCACUGUGCCGUUCAGUCUGGGCUAUGGCCUCUCACCCCACCUCAUCCCAUUGCAUUUCAUAAGCCAGUAACUCCAAGGCCAGACUUCCAUUACACUCUGGAUGACUGCAUUUAUUUGCAGUGACUUCAAGGAAGAAGGGGCCUGUUUAGGAAAUUAGGCACUGGCCUGGUGAAAAGGUCAACUUGCGAAAUUGUGGCUGCAAGGGAUGCCUUUUUCUUCCAAGGCUAUGCCUUGGUGGUGGUGGUGAGGGUGUACAAAUUGUUUUUUGUAUUUCCUAUUUUGAUUUAAAUACUGUUUUUUGUUUGGUUGGUUGGUUUUUUUUUUUUUUUUUUAAGUCCUAAACAAGUGCCACAGAGGAUUUCUUUUUGGCUUGAACUUGAUAAAAUUUGGAGCACACAAGUUUACACACAUGGUCAUGAACACACACCCCUUCUCCCAUCUCCCCAGACCCCCAGCACAUAUGUUCCAUAAUGAGGUGUUCCUAAGUGAGAAUUCCCAUAAUUUGAGGUUUUAUACUGGAAUGGUGAUAAGGGCAGGAAACCUCAGCCCAUGUGCAUUUUUUCUCGAGUGGUUAACCUUUCCUCUCUUUCUCCUUCUUUUUUUGCCCCCCUCCAAAUUCCCCCUUCUCUUAAGAAAAAACACGUGAGCCAUGUUGGAAGUACAGCCUUGACCUCAGCCUCACCAGGUGCGGCUGCUGACCGGUGCAAAAAAAUAGGAAAUAUUAUUUAAAAGGCAGGGAGGGGAGAGUUUCUGUUCCACAAUCACUGCUGUUUCAGUGAAAAGCAACCCGGUUUAUCUGUAAAACCUACUUCCCUUUCUGGUGAAUGUGGCUGUUUUUGACAGCAGAGGACCCCAGUUGUUGAGGACUAAAGAGAGAGAAGAUGAGAAAGAAGAUGCUGGAAACAGAGGUUGGAGAAAGAGAGGCAAGGAAGUAGAAAGGAGGAAAAGGGGAAGAGAGGAGGCAGGGGGAGAGAGGGUUGGAAUUCGAGCUAUUUUCAGCUGAAUGUGAGUGCAGAUUUCAUCAGGCUUCUGGGCUACAGGGAAACUGACUGUGUGCGGACCUUGCGUGUAACUUCCUGUGAAGCAGCCGUGGUGACUGCAUUUUCUGACACUGUCAGAGUCUGGACAACCCUGCCAGCUCCUAGAAGGGCAACCCAACAACUGUCACAGACGAAGCAUCAAAAGCAUGAGCUGUCGAUAGUGACCUGCAUUUGCAGAAAAUCUGAGGGCUUUCUAAUUAACAGAGGAGCUCUAAAUUAGAGUAAAGCUGUUCGACAAGACCCCUCAUACGCGGUAAGUGUCACAAUGCAGAUAAUCAUUACAUCUAACAAGCUUCUGAUUUUUAACAGAAGCUAUGAGACCAACUCAUUUAUAAUGGUUCAGUUUCAAAGGGGGAAAAAAAAGCAACCAAGAAAGAAAAAGAAGGAAAGAAAAAAAGGGAGAAAAGGAAGAAAGAAAGAACAACCAGAAGAACAAAAAUAGGAAAGAAAAAUAAAAAGAAAUCCUCCUUCUAGUGCUUUGGGCGAGUGCUUAGACCCAGUCCCCAAAUUCUUCCUUUGUUGUCUGCUGAAGCAUCCAGAUACAUCUUCUGUUUUAGAUUUUCCUUACUGUAAUCCACGUCUGCUAAUAUGCCAGCUCAUUCAUUUGAUGUUUCCUGGGGACGAGCAUCCUCUCUUGAGUUAUUUCUGACAACUGCAGCAUUCCACAGGGUCUGAGUUGUUGAACACAGUGCCCUAACUUAAAUAUUACAAUCAAAACACAUGACAUAGACAGCAGUUGAUUUGGGUUCUGCCUUGGACAGAGAAACAGACUGGGGCUAAAGGGACUGCAGCUAUACCUGGGGACUUGCCUGAGAUCAUCUGGGACUUGCCUGGUCUCAAGUCUUCUGACCUUGGCCAGGGAUCUUUGCACUGGGCAGGGGAAUUUGAGUCCCAAUUUGAGGCAUCGAUUUAAACCACUUUUCAAAGGCCUGAAUGGAGCUGAUUAUUUGUGUGUCUUCUUUUCCUGGUCUUCCCCUUGUCAAGACCAUUUCUCUACCACGGGAUAUAUAUUAGAGGGGAAAACGGCUGUAAACCCUGAUUGUUGGCUAGCAUUGUUCAGGAAGUGUAGCAUUAAGGAGCAACACUUCUCUCGCCUGUGUUGAUUCUCCUCCAACUACCCACACUAUCCUUGCAGUUAUUCAUGGGAAAUAAUAUAAAUCACACUGCCUGAUUCUUCUCAAACAUCUCGCAAAGUAAUCAUGGGCUGAAGUGCAGGUUUUCUUGCAGUGCCUUUAUCAGUAAAUCAGAUUUUGAGCAUUUAUCAGCAAAAGUUAGACUUAAACAUCAUCAUUUCUGUAAUGUUUGAAAGAAAGAUUUGUUUCAGUGGGGACUCUGCCAAUCAAUGAUCUUCCAGCUUGACUCUGCUAUCAAUUAUUGCUGCAAUUAUUUGUCUAGUUGGAUAUUUAAAAUGUCAUCAGAAAGAGAUGAUUACACAUUCUAGAAAGCAAGGCACUGUAUAAUCACAUGAACUGAAUCCAGUUAAAUGUAGUGUGGUACUAACCUGUCCUUCAAAAUAGAAUUUUUGAGCUACCACUGAAGCAGCAGUCUUCUGCCCUGUUUUCAGGAAGCUGAUCUUAACCUUGGGAUGCAGUGUGCUUUCAGGGUUGGGUGAUACUUAAUUAUGGAGAACUUUCCAAGUCUGAAAAUGGAAUUGCUCCUUCACAUACGCGAGAAGUGCAUUUUGGUUAUCUCAUUCAUCUGCAAAUCUAUAAAUAAGCAGUCCCUCUAUUCUUCUUGCUUCCUGUGGAUUUAAAUGCCAAAUCCUGAUUUGUGGCAAAGUUGUCACAUGCCCCUUUCCCACUCUGUAUGCCUGGUGCCCAGGAACUAAGCAGUGGCAGUGGAAAUUACAACUGUUUGGAAGCCAAGAAAAAAGCUCCAUUUCUCACUUUUCUCCAGUUCCGGAUAUUCUCGGCUCUGCUCCAUGUAUCAGCCUCCUCCCCACACACCUCCUCCACUGCACACCCUCCUUCUGUCCGCUCCGUGAACAGGAAACAGAAAUACAGCUCCAAUUUUUUUUUUUAAUGGAGGAAGAGAAACCACAACCCGAACAAAAAACUCAAAAACUAAACUCCAACCAAACUAAACUCUCAAGAUAGAAUCAUGAGAGAUGCAAAAUGUCCAAAAUGUCCUAAGUGGCUCAAACCACCCGCCCCUUAACAGGUCUGCCUCUCUUCCUGGGAGUCAGAAGUGACCUUGAUGAACUGGAUGUUAGGUCCAAAAAUGACAAACAAGCCCUCCACUGGGAAACAUCAGUCCAACCCCUUUCUUUUGACAGCAGGACUAGAACAGACCAGAGGUUCCGGAGAAGGUCUCUAUACCUAGGUGGGUUUCCUGAGCUGGAGAAUUUUCCAUGGGGCUGUCUGUGUGUUGAGGCUUUUCCCCAUUCACUUUCCCAAUUCACUUCCCAGAGAGCAUGCUGAGCUCAUUCCAGGACACUGUGAUGGUCAAAAGGCUCUCCCACCAUCACACAGAAUGUACUAGGGUUCUGUUAGAAAAUUAAUCUCACUUGUGGAAAAAAAAUGCCCUUAAAACACUGGAGCCCUGAGUUGUAUGUGCUGGAGCAUGUGGGGAAAAGAAAGAUGUAGGGGGUGGAGCGUCAAGAAAAACAAGACAAAAAAAUUCACGAGCCAUGGAAAUGGAGAAGAAACACUGUUUCUGCUGCAGUUGCUCUUAGCCAGGGGCCAGCGUGGACAGCACUGUCACCUUGAUCCCUGUCCUCCUUCACCUGCCAGCUUGUGGGCUGGGUGGCUUAAGUUCUAGCCCUGGGUGACCCUCUGACUCCUGAGAGCAUGUGUAUGUGCUUGUGGUGGGUGGGGUGUAGUGCGUUAAAGCCGCAAAGCAGAGGUGCGAAGGGCCUGGUGUAGGUCGUGGGAGACAGAGAGAAGGCCCUGGGUUCUGAAUGUUUUUACUUUUCCUAGGAUCCCUGCUUCAUUUUUGUUUUCAAGGAGUUACUUGUUUCUCUCUUCUUGCCUUCCAGCAUGUCCCAAGCAGAGAUGGGUGGCUAGGUUUGGGAAUGGGGUGCUGGGAGGGGAGGGGAUAUCCCAUUCCAGGGCCCUUCCCAGUUUUGGGGCUGGGAAGCCUCAAUCUCCUUGAGCACAGCAGGGCUUUGCCUUCUUUCUUCCCUGAGCUGCGGCCACCACUGGGCUGUACCAGGAUCUAGUGCAACUUGGGUGACAAGGUGUGGGUGGCUGCAGGUGUUCUCCCUGCAUCUGAGGCAGGGAGGCAGCUGGGGGCUUCCAGCCAGCCUGUAAUGCCCCUCCCAGGUCUAGCUUCCUAGCCUUAUUUUUAAGCCCUUUUAGUGGAGCAAAAACUAUUUAGAACUAUGAGUUCAAAAAUAGGAUUAUUCAAGCGGAGGUACUUCACACUGUUCUUUCUCUUGGGACAGAGAUGGGGGUGCAGGUAGGGGAUGAGAAUAGAGGAAAAUGUGGAGGAUUGCUAAAACAAAUUGAGAGAGGAAGGAAGAAAGGGACCCAGACUAGUAAUUGAGACCAAUUCACCAGAAGACUUAAGGAAAUUUGACAUCCGCUGUAGCUCUUUUAACUGUGUAAUUACACAGCAUUUGGAAAGUGAAUGAUUAACCUGAUUGUCCAUAACAACCAUUGAGUAAAUACACUAUUACAGAUUGCCAAAAUAGUACAGUGAAGCGAUGGACCAGCAGCCACUUUCAAGGGGCUGUAAUCCUCUCCUGGGUCAAGGCUGACCCAGAGGCUCCUUGGUUAGUGAAUCAUUUACUAGGGAAGGUUUCCCCUGGUCACUGCUGGCUCCAUGGCCUGGUCCUUCCAGCCAGGUCAUUUAGAAUGGCUCUCCAACAGGAAGAAAAGUUCACUGCACAGCGCUUGAAUCCUAAUUAUUUAUUGAGGGGCUCUUCUUUGCCCAGCAUGGUGCUGGACAGUCAGAGGUAGACCACUGAGUCUUGGUUCUUAGAAGCCUUGAACUUUUAGUUGGAGAACCAGUGGUAGAUACAUGCUGAUUACAGGGAGACUUGGAUCCAGGAGAAAUGGAGUGGAGAGCCAGGUUCAGAAGAGAGACAUAUCCUUUACAGGCCUUUGUGUUACCUAGCCAGUGCCUUCAUGUCCCCAGCCCCCUGGCCUCCAGCUCCUCCACCCCCACCUUCCCCCCUCCUCGCUGUCCUUGGUGCAGAGUGGGGCAGUCAUCUCAGUGGGGCCUCCUCCCGGGGAAGUCCACAGCUUGCUCCACACCGGAGGAGCCGCCAAAGUCAGCCAAGAGCCGCAGGCCAUAAAUGCAAAGUAUGAUUUAACAAAAGCAGCUUUUGAGUGAGAAAGCUGAGUGGAGUUGUCCCAACCUGUCAACUUCAGAUUUCUUUCCUCCUCCCCAUAAAUCAAAAAACGGUUGGUGGAAGGGAGGGACAGAAGCGUUUCAUUUUCAGAUUUUGUAAGAAAAUAAAAUAAAAUCAAAAGAACCUGUCCCACGCUGAUACCUUACAUGCCAGGUUUGAGCCUGAGGCAAAUUUUUGUGGCCAUGUAAUAAGCCUCUUUAAAAUGGUGACAGACCCUUGACUCUUUGCCUUGAAUUACAUUGAUAAAAGACAUUUUAUUGCAUUAGAGCUGGGGCAGGAGUACAGGACGGUUCUUGCCUGGUCGGCCUCUUUGAAACCGCGUCAGCCUGCCGUCCACACUCUCCACCGCCUGACAGGGUUUGAGUGCGAUGGCAGCUGAGAUCUGUGGGCCGGUGACAGAGGGGGCUUUCUACCCAGCAGUAGAAGGUUGAGGCCCUGGAAGCAAAAGGAUUUCAGCCUGAGGGGCUUGUUAAGGGAGAGUUAUUCUUUCCUGUUCCUAGUAGACCUGAGAGAGCUUGACGUUGGUGGCCUCUGGUCAGCCUCAUGGUUGGGACUGCGUGGAAAUGCUAGACCUGAGAGACCUCAUUUCCCAAGCAGUCUUAGAGAGACUCAAAACAAAAAAUGGUCUCCGGGUCCCACCGUGGUGUGUGGCCGCUGUGCCCGCAGAGGCCAGGUGUCCAUAGGCUGAGUCCCCACGUGGACCUGCUAGGUGGGUAGAAAGGAGUUGAAGAUGUUGUGCUGUUGGUUGGAGGAGCUUGGAGGUGUCUGGGAACAUUGGAUGUUACUCAUAUGGAAUCAGCAGAAUUAGUAGAGCCAAGAACAGACGGCAGUGCCACACCCCAUGGCUGGACUGAGGCUGCUCCAAUGAUGGCAGGUUGUAUCUGCGGGCAUCUCCAAUUUGCUCAGGGAACUCUUUCCAGAUUGGUCAGUGGUAUAAAUGAAGGAUUAGGAAAUUGGGUAAAAAGCCAGGGAGGAGGGAAAAAAAAAAAACAAAAAACAAAGCACGUCAAAGCCAAGGCCUGUGUUUUGUUCUGUGGGACUUUGCCAGAGAGAUGAGGACUGAGGCUGGGCUGCUGUGUGCCUGGGAGGCGGGAAGGUGCUGAGGCACUGCAGAGAAGCAGCUGCAGCAUGCCCCGGGCAGAGGCCUGUUUUCUGAAAGAAGGACUUGCCGUCAUGGGAGGAGGCCUGGCCUCGCAGCACCAGAGCGCUCCUUCAUUCAGCCUCACCUCAGGCGAGAGGGCAGCCUAGUUUUAUUCCUGAAGAAAUGUUAGAGCCUGACCUGCUAGACCAUUUUUUUUGGUAGAGCUUUGAAGCCUUAAAUUAGUUCUCAUAAUUUCUGAGCAGCUCUGUGUUAACCAUAGGACAUAAUAGGUUUUAAUUCUGGAGAAUGGCCAGUUCUGGUUCUCAGAAUCUCUUGGCCAAGACUGUCACAGAGUAUUAGGCCUGUGAAGUGCCUUCCACGCUUCCCCUGAAGUCCACACACCAGUCACUCAAUAGUGCCAGAAAGGCAAGUGAGGAGAUUGCCUGAAAGGGGCUGUAUGACCAGUGUCCAGACGACAGGUUUCUGCCGCGGCCCUGAGGUGGCAGUGGGAGGGGUUUGUCAGAAGGUGGGCAGGGUCCUGAAGCCCAGCCCUGUCCUCCCUGUCCACAGCAGGACACUUCUGAGAUCUUCGAGUUCCUCACUGGGAGGUGAGGCUAAUACCUUCCCUCAUUCCACAGGGCGACUGUUGGGGCAGGAUGUGAGGAGAGUACUUUGGGAAGAACAUAACACUUUCCACCCAGCCUGGGCAACAUGGUGAGAUCCCAUCUCUACAAAAAAUACAAAAAUUAGCCAGGUGUGGUGGUGGCGCAUGCCUGUAGUCCUAGCUACUUGAGAGCUGAGGCAGGAGGACUGCUUGAACUCGGGAGGCGGAGGUUGCAGUGAGCCAAGAUUGCACCACUGCACUCCAGCCUGGGCAACAGAGUGAGACCAUGUCUCAAUUAAAAAAAAAAAAAAAAAAGCUUUCCAUAAAGGCCAGGACAGAUGUGCUUCCUUAAGAAGGGCUAGAGUUGGAGGCCUUGCCCUCCUCUGGGCUUGUUGGCCUUGGGGGAGGCCUGACAGAGCCUUCCUGGGGCUGCCUGUUCUUCUGGCCCCUUCUCCGUGCACAGACCAGUCUUGGAUGAUAAGUCAGGAAAGCCCUCCACCUGGCCGGGCUGCAGUGUCGCUGGGGCUGCCCACACUUGCUGACCAUGGCUCCCCACUCCCUUGUCUCUCACAGCACCACUGCCCCUGUUUCCACAGUGCCCACGAACAAAACAUCAGGAGUCUCUUGGAAACACCAUGUUUGAUUAUUUCUUUCUUUCUUUCUUUCUUUAUUUAUUUUACUCUAAGUUCUGGGAUACAUGUGCAGAAUGUGCAGGUUUGUUACAUAAGUAUACAUGUACCAUGGUGGUUUGCUGCACCUAUCAACCCAUCAUCUACAUUAGGCAUUUCUCCUAAUGCUAUCCCUCCCCUUGCCCCUCCACCCAUGUUUGGUUUUCUUUAGCUUAUUCUAGUAUUUUCUCAAGACCGAUCGAAAUGAUAAUAUAGAGGCAUAAAGCACAUUUGUUGUGAGUUGAUGCAGAUAAAAAGGCUUGGGGUGGUCUUCAGAGUAAUUUGGGAGUUGUGUGUUCUGCUGGCUUUGAUAGACAAGCCCUUCUCUGCUCUGGCAGGUGUUAUCAGAAUCAAACGUUUGCAAAUGAUCAUUCUCAUCGCAUCCAUCUUCACAGCCCCAUGCCUCUUCCUGAAUGCUCAGUUGAAAAUGCGUAUUUCACCUUCCUCAGGUAUCUAAUACUUAACCUGGGAGAAACGCAAGUGUGGUUUGCAAGGCUUUCCAGGUGUCCAAAUGAUGAUUUCCCAUCCUUUUCUUCAUUUCUCGAGUGGGGCAGGGAGGCAUCGGGGUGUUUGUGAUACGUUUGUGUGAAGCUGGACAAUUCGGGUGACAGAAAUAUGUUCAGGGCAGUGUCUUUUAUCGUCCCUUCUAACUACAAAGGCAUGGAUUGCAGUUGAGCCCCACUUUCAGAAGGCCCAAUACACACAAAAAUCUCAUUAAUGGAAACUGAUAAAUUAGAGAGUGAUUUUUCACAUUACAGAAAGAUUGUUAACUUUUCAAAAGGUUUCACCACAGGGUUUCUUUAAAUAGUGAGCUCCCCCACUGAAUUUAAAGUGUUUGUUUACAGAUCAUUAACUACUUGACAGAGAGGAUAUUGGGGGUUGGGGGAAGGAAGACACACUUAAAAGGUAAAAUGUUAGAAGCCCUGCCAAUUUUCAAUGAGCCUGGAAGGGUGACGAAACAUCUCUGAAAUUAUGUUGGUUAGCAAAUAUGAUUUAUUUUACAGAAAUUCAUUUUACACAUGGCUUUCCAAGAACCCUCCAUGCUGAUGGGGUGUGGUGGGAGGUCAAGGACCACAGGGUGCUGGGCUUUGCUGUCCUGGUUUGUGGUGGCUGGGGAGAGGACUCCCUUUUCUUAGAGUCCUGUGUGUGCCUUUGUGAGCAAUGGGUGCCAGGCUCUGGCAUGAGGCCGAGCUUUGCUACUGGACUUCUGGCAUGAGCCACUGAGACCUUUUCCCUUGACAUUUAGCCUGGGUUUGGGGAAGUUUCUUCCUGGUUCUCUGACCUUCAGUCUCAUUGGCUCAGGACACACCUAGGUUUCCUCCUUGAAGCUCAGACAUGUAAACUUUGCAAGACUGUGUCCCAGGAGGUUGAAAUCCAUCAUCAGGCUCACUCUCUAAGCCUAAGGAUUAGCCUGGGGACCAAGCCCAGCCCUGAACUCUCCUAUAAGGCCCUCCUCAUCCAGGUCAAGGUCAUGAGGGGAACAGGUGUAUCCUGGCCAGCUUCUAGCACGGCCUAUAGUAGGUCUCUUGGUUGGUCCAAAGGAGGCCUGGACUUGCAUGGGAGGCAGGAGAGAGAAGCCACCCCAUCUAAUCCAGUCUUCUCCUUUUAAAGAUGGAAACACUUAGGGCCAGAAAGAAAGGAUUUAUUCAAAGUCACGAAACAGCUGGUGAGUGGCAGAGUUGGGGUUGCAGAACUUAGGUUCCUGACUUUCCUCUAGCAGUCUCUCCAGAGGAACAAGUCCCUGCUUCCUAAAGGAAGAAAAGAAUCCGGGGAGUGGUGGCAGUGGGAAUACAUAGAGCAAGGGCAUCUCUGAAAGUAGCUCCCAAAUAACCUGAUAAAUACCUCGGAUAGAGGCAAGGCUACACCCCUCCCCCUGCCCCCACUACACACAAACAAGAUCCUCAGCUGAGGACUCAGAGCAGGAGUAAGGGCACCCCUAUCCUCCCCAUGGCUUUGAAAAGAAGAAAGAGGGGAAAUUUGGAGGGAUGGUCAAGUUGAUGAUUGAAGAGACAAAGUAGUGUAGGAAAAUCUCAAUGUUUCUUGCACAGUCAUUUGUUGAAAAUGUGUCAGCAAGUACAAGCCCAUCUUAAACUGGCAAUGAGACAUCUGAAAUAGAUUAUUUAAGCCAGGGAGGCAGUAUUGCAAGGAAGAACAUGGCUAUCAACACUUGUUUGUCUGACUCAGAGGAAUAAAACAUAGUAAAUUUUGCCUUAGCGGGCCACCCACAUUCAUUGGGGGAAGAAACAAUUGAGGUGGGGGGAAAACAGAACAGAUGAACCUUCAUGGAGUUUCACAAGAGUCCACAUGGUUGUGUCCCUUAUUUUCAGAAAAUGUGAAAUUGGAAAAUACGCACUUGUGAAAGCUGAAGAUGUCACAGAAAUCUUCAGAGGAUUUAUUUAGAUGGUCGUAUCCUCCGCUGUCAACUGGAUGAAUCAGUGUGCAAUAUUUUGAUGUGAAUGUAACCGCCUAUUGGGCCCCAUUUACUCUGUGCCCACCUUGGGCUUUGCUUCUCUCUAAGCAUCUUUACCUGCUUUUUCUUUUUAUCUAGGAUAUCCUUUCUCUUGGCUCUCCAGGUUUAACUCAUAAGUUUUCCUCUUUCCCAAAGCCUCUCUCCCUCCCUUCCAAAUGGAAAUAAUUUCUCUUCCUUUGAAUUUCCAUAGCAGCUCAUCUGUACCUCUCUCAUGACACACUUUCUACAUGGGGGUAGAGCAAUUUCUGUGCAGGCCUUACCUUUUCUACUAAAUGAAGCCUGCUGUGGGAGAAAUCUGUGUCCGUGUUUUCUUUGUACUGCCCACAGCGGCUAGCCCAUUGCUUUGGGCAUUGUAGGCACUCGGUAAAUAUUUGUUGAAUGAAUGCAUGAGAGGUUGAAUGAAUGCAUGAGAGAAUGAAUGAAUGGAAUUUAUCCUGGGAACACACAUUUUGCAUAGUGAGGUAUGUGAUUAAACAAACAAAAAAAAAUUGUCCUAAGACAAUUUGUCUUUUUAUGCAGCUGCCCUCUCAGUCUCCUAGAUAAGUUCCGCCAUUCUAAGGCAAAAGCUUAAAGUGUAAUAAAAAUUUAUCUAAUUCACGAUCAAGUGAAAAUACUUUGGGCCCAGAGCCAAAGAAUAUUAUUGGAGUGAACUUUUUUUAACACCCUAAAUUUAACCAGCUGGAAUUCUUUUUUUAAGUACCAUCCUAUUCAACCUUUUGAAAUGAAGGAUUUGCCUUUUAGUGGGAAAUCUGCAUUUCAACACAAAGAUGGAACACAAUGUCUUUGGCUUAGUUGCUUUUCAGAAAAGCAAGAUUUUUUUUUUUUGGAAUUAUAUGCUUUGCUUAUGUUAAAGACACAGCUUGCAGAAAAAUUUUGUUUAGGCCUGACAGAUUGGUGGCUGGCAUUUUUAUAGAUAAAGGGGCACGCAAAAUGUCAUCUCUACUUCCUCCCUUUAUUGAGAAAAAGCCUAGGAGGAGAACUCUUAAAAGGUGAAGUUAGUAACCUGUUGUUUGAGUAAUCAAGGCUCUAAGAGGAUAGCAUUGAUCAAAAAAGAGUUUUAAAAUGAGUGAUUGAUGUUAUUAAAGUCACUGGUGAAGUAUCAAGGAAUCUAAGGACCAUGAGAGAGUUUCAGGGAAGAAAUUCUAUAUUGUAGUGUCUAUAAUUAUUGCUUUCUUUUGUUUUUGCAGAAUACACUUUUUAAAGAACAUCAGGAUUUGGUAAAACAGCCAGUAAAAAAGCAAUGAAGGAAAAAAAAUGCACAUGUAAAUGCUCAUUUCUAGAACAAAAGAGAGUGCGAUUUUGACAAUAUCAGAAGGUUAAUUAAGAAGUCUGUGAGUGAUGAUAAAGCUGGCACAUUUUCAUUACAGAUUGACACAACUCAAGUCACAGGCAUAGCUAAUGUUUGCUCUAUAAUACUCUGAUAAGUCAGAGAAUCUAAGUGAGAAGAACUGGUAUCUAUGGUAAACAUAGGGUCAAGAGCUAGAUGCGGCUGAAUAGAAAGGACAUUUACUUUGCAGUUAGGUAAAGAAGCCUCUAGCUCAGACUAGCUGCACUGUUGUUAUUUGUGUGGCUUGAACCUAGUAAUCGGAUUCAGAACUGGAAUGGGUUCCUUCAGGGUACUUUACAAACGUUCAGGAUGCAUUUUAAGUGUAGUCUAGAAGGUGGUACAUGGAAGAGCUGAGGGACUUGAGGAUUAUGGACUGCGAAAGGACUGUAGGUAGUCCUGUAUUUUGGCCUGUCACCAAUAUAGAGACCCCUCCUCAUCAUAGUGUCAUCCAUUCUCUUUUUGAAGACCCAGGGUGAAAGAAAGGGGGUCACAGUGUCACGAGAUAGCCCAUUCCACGUGGGACAGCUCUACUGCUUUUGUGCCUGUCUCACUGAA